rnacentral:rRNA from 1 species
UUAAGUUAGAAAGGGCGCACGGUGGAUGCCUUGACACUAGGAGUCGAUGAAGGACGGGACUAACGCCGAUAUGCUUCGGGGAGCUGUAAGUAAGCUUUGAUCCGAAGAUUUCCGAAUGGGGAAACCCACCAUACGUAAUGGUAUGGUAUCCUUAUCUGAAUACAUAGGGUAAGGAAGACAGACCCAGGGAACUGAAACAUCUAAGUACCUGGAGGAAGAGAAAGCAAAUGCGAUUUCCUGAGUAGCGGCGAGCGAAACGGAACAUAGCCCAAACCAAGAGGCUUGCCUCUUGGGGUUGUAGGACAUUCUAUACGGAGUUACAAAGGAACGAGGUAGACGAAGCGACCUGGAAAGGUCCGUCGUAGAGGGUAACAACCCCGUAGUCGAAACUUCGUUCUCUCUUGAAUGUAUCCUGAGUACGGCGGAACACGUGAAAUUCCGUCGGAAUCUGGGAGGACCAUCUCCCAAGGCUAAAUACUCCCUAGUGAUCGAUAGUGAACCAGUACCGUGAGGGAAAGGUGAAAAGCACCCCGGAAGGGGAGUGAAAGAGAUCCUGAAACCGUGUGCCUACAAAUAGUCAGAGCCCGUUAAUGGGUGAUGGUGUGCCUUUUGUAGAAUGAACCGGCGAGUUACGAUCCCGUGCGAGGUUAAGCUGAAGAGGCGGAGCCGCAGCGAAAGCGAGUCUGAAUAGGGCGUUUAGUACGUGGUCGUAGACCCGAAACCAGGUGAUCUACCCAUGUCCAGGGUGAAGUUCAGGUAACACUGAAUGGAGGCCCGAACCCACGCACGUUGAAAAGUGCGGGGAUGAGGUGUGGGUAGCGGAGAAAUUCCAAUCGAACCUGGAGAUAGCUGGUUCUCCCCGAAAUAGCUUUAGGGCUAGCCUUAAGUGUAAGAGUCUUGGAGGUAGAGCACUGAUUGGACUAGGGGUCCUCAUCGGAUUACCGAAUUCAGUCAAACUCCGAAUGCCAAUGACUUAUCCUUAGGAGUCAGACUGCGAGUGAUAAGAUCCGUAGUCAAAAGGGAAACAGCCCAGACCGCCAGCUAAGGUCCCAAAGUGUGUAUUAAGUGGAAAAGGAUGUGGAGUUGCUUAGACAACUAGGAUGUUGGCUUAGAAGCAGCCACCAUUUAAAGAGUGCGUAAUAGCUCACUAGUCGAGUGACUCUGCGCCGAAAAUGUACCGGGGCUAAAUACACCACCGAAGCUGCGGAUUGAUACCAAUGGUAUCAGUGGUAGGGGAGCGUUCUAAGGACAGUGAAGUCAGACCGGAAGGACUGGUGGAGUGCUUAGAAGUGAGAAUGCCGGUAUGAGUAGCGAAAGACGGGUGAGAAUCCCGUCCACCGAAUGCCUAAGGUUUCCUGAGGAAGGCUCGUCCGCUCAGGGUUAGUCAGGACCUAAGCCGAGGCCGACAGGCGUAGGCGAUGGCAACAGGUUGAUAUUCCUGUACCACCUCUUUAUCGUUUGAGCAAUGGAGGGACGCAGAAGGAUAGAAGAAGCGUGCGAUUGGUUGUGCACGUCCAAGCAGUUAGGCUGAUAAGUAGGCAAAUCCGCUUAUCGUGAAGGCUGAGCUGUGAUGGGGAAGCUCCUUAUGGAGCGAAGUCUUUGAUUCCCCGCUGCCAAGAAAAGCUUCUAGCGAGAUAAAAGGUGCCUGUACCGCAAACCGACACAGGUAGGCGAGGAGAGAAUCCUAAGGUGUGCGAGAGAACUCUGGUUAAGGAACUCGGCAAAAUGACCCCGUAACUUCGGGAGAAGGGGUGCUUUCUUAACGGAAAGCCGCAGUGAAUAGGCCCAAGCGACUGUUUAGCAAAAACACAGCUCUCUGCGAAGCCGUAAGGCGAAGUAUAGGGGGUGACACCUGCCCGGUGCUGGAAGGUUAAGGAGAGGGGUUAGCGUAAGCGAAGCUCUGAACUGAAGCCCCAGUAAACGGCGGCCGUAACUAUAACGGUCCUAAGGUAGCGAAAUUCCUUGUCGGGUAAGUUCCCGACCCGCACGAAAGGUGUAACGAUUUGGGCACUGUCUCAACCAGAGACUCGGUGAAAUUAUAGUACCUGUGAAGAUGCAGGUUACCCGCGACAGGACGGAAAGACCCCGUGGAGCUUUACUGUAGCCUGAUAUUGAAUUUUGGUACAGUUUGUACAGGAUAGGCGGGAGCCUUUGAAACCGGAGCGCUAGCUUCGGUGGAGGCGCUGGUGGGAUACCGCCCUGACUGUAUUGAAAUUCUAACCUACGGGUCUUAUCGACCCGGGAGACAGUGUCAGGUGGGCAGUUUGACUGGGGCGGUCGCCUCCUAAAGUGUAACGGAGGCGCCCAAAGGUUCCCUCAGAAUGGUUGGAAAUCAUUCGUAGAGUGCAAAGGCAUAAGGGAGCUUGACUGCGAGACCUACAAGUCGAGCAGGGACGAAAGUCGGGCUUAGUGAUCCGGUGGUUCCGCAUGGAAGGGCCAUCGCUCAACGGAUAAAAGCUACCCCGGGGAUAACAGGCUUAUCUCCCCCAAGAGUCCACAUCGACGGGGAGGUUUGGCACCUCGAUGUCGGCUCAUCGCAUCCUGGGGCUGUAGUCGGUCCCAAGGGUUGGGCUGUUCGCCCAUUAAAGCGGUACGCGAGCUGGGUUCAGAACGUCGUGAGACAGUUCGGUCCCUAUCCGUCGUGGGCGUAGGAAAUUUGAGAGGAGCUGUCCUUAGUACGAGAGGACCGGGAUGGACGCACCGCUGGUGUACCAGUUGUUCUGCCAAGGGCAUAGCUGGGUAGCUAUGUGCGGAAGGGAUAAGUGCUGAAAGCAUCUAAGCAUGAAGCCCCCCUCAAGAUGAGAUUUCCCAUAGCGUAAGCUAGUAAGAUCCCUGAAAGAUGAUCAGGUUGAUAGGUUCGAGGUGGAAGCAUGGUGACAUGUGGAGCUGACGAAUACUAAUAGAUCGAGGACUUAACCAU